UAUAUUUGCCACUUGAUUGUCUCAAAAAAUUGAUUACAUAAAAAUUAUUUAAAGAAAUAUUGGAAUG
ncrna:unclassified sequences S15-Flavobacteria ribosomal protein leader